ACCUAGUAGUACGGAAUAGCCAUUAGAAAUGGUGGGUAAUACUGUAUAAUCCCCGAGGGGGAAAGAUUUAUCGCUAUUAGGUGAGCCUACGUUAGAUUAGCUAGUUGGUGAGGUAAUGGCUUACCAAGGCUAUGAUCUAUAGUUGGUCCGAGAGGACGAUCAGCCACACUGGAACUGAGAUACGGUCCAGACUCCUACGGGAGGCAGCAGUGGGGAAUAUUGGACAAUGGGCGAAAGCCUGACCCAGCUAUGCCGCGUGAGU
rnacentral:rRNA from 1 species